GACGAACCGUGCGAACGUUGUUCGGAAUAACUGGGCUUAAAGGGCGCGUAGGCGGGCUGACAAGUCUGGGUGAAAUCCCGCGGCUCAACCGUGGAACUGCCUUAGAUACUGUCGGCCUCGAGGAAGGUAGGGCAUGCGGAACUAACGGUGGAGCGGUGAAAUGCGUUGAUAUCGUUAGGAACUCCGGUGGCGAAAGCGGCGUGCUGGAC
rnacentral:rRNA from 1 species